rnacentral:rRNA from 1 species
UACAGAGGGUGCAAGCGUUGUUCGGAAUUAUUGGGCGUAAAGGGCGCGUAGGCGGUGCGGUAAGUCACCUGUGAAAUCUCCGGGCUUAACUCGGAGCCUGCAGGCGAAACUACCGUGCUGGAGUGUGGGAGAGGUGCGUGGAAUUCCCGGUGUAGCGGUGAAAUGCGUAGAUAUCGGAAGGAACACCAGUGGCGAAAGCGGCUUCCUGGACCAGUACUGACGUUCAUGUGCGAAAGCGUGGGGAGCAAACAGG